UAAGGUCCCUUCCAACCCAAACCAGUCUGGAUUCUGUGAUCUCUGAACAAAGAUCUAUUCAGAUGAAAGAAAAUUGUGAGCAAGGCCAAGACUGGAUGAGUUUAAAAACUGAUCCUUAAAGACAGCACCUUGGAAACUCCAUUUGUACCCCCAAGUUGAUGCACACCAGUGUUUUGUGUGAAGAGUGAAUGAGCCCUUCCCCUUUUACUGAUCACUUCAAUCCCUUUUGGCUUUCACUUUUUGCCCGAAGAAAAUCUCCAAGACCAACCACACACAGGCUGACACCAUUCACAAACUUUCAUCUUUCCCAGCAGCAGAAGGAAACAGAAACCUGAGCUUCCUUUACAAAGCUGUUUUAAGAAGUUUUGUUUUGUUUUGUUUUGUUUUUAAUCUUUCUGCCUUAUCAAGGUUUAUAAAUAGGGCCACAAUAUCAAGGAUUUUUUUUCUUUUCAUAAAGGAAACAUCUGACUGUUGCUCUGCAUGUCCUUGCAGAGCUCUGUCAGUGCUGACUGCACAUUGUCUUGCCCAGAAGGUUGUAAAGUUUGGAGGUCUGCCUUCGUUUUCAAGGUGUGCUUUUCUGGAAUUCCUGUGCUCAAAACAACCUCAAAGCAGCCCAAAGAUGUCCAGACUGCAGAGAGACACUCAGCCCAGUAACCCAAUCAUCUGGUGCCUCUGGGGACAUCGUCCUGUGGACCUACAAGGUCAGGGUUUGGAGAGCACAGGUCCCAGUCCUGCAGCUGGAAAAGCAGCCAGAAGUCAGAGCAGUCCCAUUAAUGUCAAUAUAUAUAUAUAUAUAUAUCAGCUUAGGUAAGUCUGAGCCUGUGAGAUUGAUGCCAUCUAUUUUUAUUUGGGCUUGUUUCCCUCGUGUCUCCAUUUCAUUUAUUUUUCACAAAGUGCUUCCUCUACCUGUUUGUCUGAGAUCUCCCAUUUCUGCUCACUCCAAUUAUUUGUGUGCAUUUCUUUUCCUGCCUUAGUUCUGUCCUCUCUGGUUUUGAUCUCUUGCAAGAAUGUACACUUCUAUUCCUCUCCUAUCUGGGAAAAAAAACAGUGCCUUGGAGC